ACGAAGAUGCCGCAGUUGGCGAAGUGCGAAAACGUAUGAAGCAACCUGCCAUUCCGUCACCUGUUAUUUUGCUUCGCAUUGGUGACGGGCUCAACACAACGUCUCAGGGACAUUCCGGUGUUGAAGUGGCGCCAGACUGCUUCGUAGUCGACUGCAAUGAUUUCAU